rnacentral:rRNA from 1 species
CGCUAAUACCGCAUACGUCCUACGGGAGAAAGCAGGGGACCUUCGGGCCUUGCGCUAUCAGAUGAGCCUAGGUCGGAUUAGCUAGUUGGUGAGGUAAUGGCUCACCAAGGCGACGAUCCGUAACUGGUCUGAGAGGAUGAUCAGUCACACUGGAACUGAGACACGGUCCAGACUCCUACGGGAGGCAGCAGUGGGGAAUAUUGGACAAUGGGCGAAAGCCUGAUCCAGCCAUGCCGCGUGUGUGAAGAAGGUCUUCGGAUUGUAAAGCACUUUAAGUUGGGAGGAAGGGUUGUAGAUUAAUACUCUGCGAUUUUGACGUUACCGACAGAAUAAGCACCGGCUAACUCUGUGCCAGCAGCCGCG